GAUGGACGCUGGCGGCGUGCCUAAUACAUGCAAGUCGAGCGAACAGACGAGGAGCUUGCUCCUCUGACGUUAGCGGCGGACGGGUGAGUAACACGUGGAUAACCUACCUAUAAGACUGGGAUAACUUCGGGAAACCGGAGCUAAUACCGGAUAAUAUAUUGAACCGCAUGGUUCAAUAGUGAAAGACGGUUUUGCUGUCACUUAUAGAUGGAUCCGCGCCGCAUUAGCUAGUUGGUAAGGUAACGGCUUACCAAGGCAACGAUGCGUAGCCGACCUGAGAGGGUGAUCGGCCACACUGGAACUGAGACACGGUCCAGACUCCUACGGGAGGCAGCAGUAGGGAAUCUUCCGCAAUGGGCGAAAGCCUGACGGAGCAACGCCGCGUGAGUGAUGAAGGUCUUCGGAUCGUAAAACUCUGUUAUUAGGGAAGAAUAAAUGUGUAAGUAACUAUGCACGUCUUGACGGUACCUAAUCAGAAAGCCACGGCUAACUACGUG
rnacentral:rRNA from 1 species